GUCCACGCCCUAAACUAUGUCAACUGGUUGUUGGGAAGGUUCCUUCUCAGUAACGUAGCUAACGCGUGAAGUUGACCGCCUGGGGAGUACGGCCGCAAGGUUGAACUCAAAGGAAUUGACGGGACCCGCACAAGCGGUGGAUGAUGUGGUUUAAUUUCGAUGCAACGCGAAAACCUUAACCUACCCUUGACAUGUCAAGAAUCUUGCAGAGAUGUGAGAGUGCUCGAAAGAGAACUUGAACACAGGUGCUGCAUGGCCGUCGU
rnacentral:rRNA from 1 species